UCCUACGGGGGGCGGCAGUGGGGAAUUUUGGACAAUGGGGGAAACCCUGAUCCAGCCAUUCCGCGUGAGUGAAGAAGGCCUUCGGGUUGUAAAGCUCUUUCAGCUGGAAAGAAACGGUGCGCUCUAACAUAGCGUGCUAAUGACGGUACCAGCAGAAGAAGCACCGGCUAACUACGUGCCAGCAGCCGCGGUAAUACGUAGGGUGCGAGCGUUAAUCGGAAUUACUGGGCGUAAAGCGUGCGCAGGCGGAUUGUUAAGCAAGAUGUGAAAUCCCCGGGCUUAACCUGGGAAUGGCAUUUUGAACUGGCAGUCUAGAGUGUGUCAGAGGGGGGUGGAAUUCCACGUGUAGCAGUGAAAUGCGUAGAUAUGUGGAGGAACACCAAUGGCGAAGGCAGCCCCCUGGGAUAACACUGACGCUCAUGUACGAAAGCGUGGGUAGCAAACAGGAUUAGAUACCCUGGUAGUCCACGCCCUAAACGAUGUCAACUGGUUGUUGGGGGAGUGAAAUCCCUUAGUAACGAAGCUAACGCGUGAAGUUGACCGCCUGGGGAGUACGGUCGCAAGAUUAAAACUCAAAGGAAUUGACGG
rnacentral:rRNA from 1 species